UAGAUAAAUAAAUGCAAAUUUUAGUAAGUACUUUUCUUAAUAAGUUCUAAUAAAUAUAAAUUUAGGUGGUGUUUUUUUUUUGUCUGAAUAUAAAAGACUAAAAUAUUUGACUUUUUAUAUUUAGUUAAAAGUAACAUGUUGACAUCAUCCAAUAUAACUAAACUCAACAUAUUAAUAAUAAGUUCACUUUAAUCAUAUUGGAUGAUAUCAACAAGUUACUUUUAACUGAAUAAAAAAUACUAAAAUAUUUUGAUUUUUUCUAAUUCAAUCAAAAAACAAAUACCACCUUAAUUAACCAUUUAAGAUGUAUUUUCUUAUUUUUAUUUAUUUUUUUA
rnacentral:pre_miRNA from 1 species